rnacentral:rRNA from 1 species
CGUCCUAUUAGCUAGUUGGUGAGGUAAUGGCUCACCAAGGCUACGAUGGGUAGGGGUUCUUAGUGGAAGGUCCCCCACACUGGCACUGAGAUACGGGCCAGACUCCUACGGGAGGCAGCAGUAGGGAAUAUUGGUCAAUGGGCGCAAGCCUGAACCAGCCAUGCCGCGUGCAGGAUGAAGGCUCUCUGAGUUGUAAACUGCUUUUGUACAGGAGCAAAAAAAUCCCUGCGGGGGUUCUUGGGAGUACUGUAAGAAUAAGCACCGGCUAAUUCCGUGCCAGCAGCCGCGGUAAUACGGGAGGUGCAAGCGUUAUCCGGUUUUAUUGGGUUUAAAGGGUGCGUAGGCGGCUUAUUAAGUCAGUUGUGAAAUCCUAGUGCUUAACGCUAGAACUGCGAUUGAUACUAUU